AGGUGAGAGAAUAGCAAUAAACCAGGGAUGAGGGGAGCCCUGGUGACAAAGAGGACACUGGAUUCUCUCUGUGGUCAAGGAGAGAUGGCAGUGAGAGGGGUAAAUUCACUCAGUUACCCAACUUCCUCUUAGGAGAGUACAGUGUCAAGGGUGAUAAGCCUCACCUGGCUGAGAGUGAGGUUUGUUUGGGCCCCAUUGUCAUAGCAACAAGGGAAUGUUUGGUAACAGAGCCAGUGACUUCACAGAAGCUGGUCUUAAUUCCACAUUUCUGAAGCUCAUGGAAGAGCAGAGCCAGCCAGGAGAGAAUGUGGAGGCAGAGGAAGACAAUAGUUCCCUUGGAAGAGCUGUGACUACUAGAAAAGUACUGUCCUGUAUCCUGGAGGGACACCAGAUGGAACCAAAAGACCAUGUUAUUUAAGUCAAUCAAUCAAAAACUAAAACCUUAAUUUACAAUGAAAAAAGUUUUUAAAAAAAAUAAACAAUCUAAAUGACUACUUUCCUGAGCCUGU
rnacentral:lncRNA from 1 species